AUAACCGGCGAUUUCCGAAUGGGGAAACCCAGUGUGUUUCGACACACUAUCAUUAACUGAAUCCAUAGGUUAAUGAGGCGAACCGGGGGAACUGAAACAUCUAAGUACCCCGAGGAAAAGAAAUCAACCGAGAUUCCCCCAGUAGCGGCGAGCGAACGGGGAGCAGCCCAGAGCCUGAAUCAGUGUGUGUGUUAGUGGAAGCGUCUGGAAAGGCGUGCGAUACAGGGUGACAGCCCCGUACACAAAAAUGCACAUGCUGUGAGCUCGAUGAGUAGGGCGGGACACGUGGUAUCCUGUCUGAAUAUGGGGGGACCAUCCUCCAAGGCUAAAUACUCCUGACUGACCGAUAGUGAACCAGUACCGUGAGGGAAAGGCGAAAAGAACCCCGGCGAGGGGAGUGAAAAAGAACCUGAAACCGUGUACGUACAAGCAGUGGGAGCACGCUUAGGCGUGUGACUGCGUACCUUUUGUAUAAUGGGUCAGCGACUUAUAUUCUGUAGCAAGGUUAACCGAAUAGGGGAGCCGAAGGGAAACCGAGUCUUAACUGGGCGUUAAGUUGCAGGGUAUAGACCCGAAACCCGGUGAUCUAGCCAUGGGCAGGUUGAAGGUUGGGUAACACUAACUGGAGGACCGAACCGACUAAUGUUGAAAAAUUAGCGGAUGACUUGUGGCUGGGGGUGAAAGGCCAAUCAAACCGGGAGAUAGCUGGUUCUCCCCGAAAGCUAUUUAGGUAGCGCCUCGUGAAUUCAUCUCCGGGGGUAGAGCACUGUUUCGGCAAGGGGGUCAUCCCGACUUACCAACCCGAUGCAAACUGCGAAUACCGGAGAAUGUUAUCACGGGAGACACACGGCGGGUGCUAACGUCCGUCGUGAAGAGGGAAACAACCCAGACCGCCAGCUAAGGUCCCAAAGUCAUGGUUAAGUGGGAAACGAUGUGGGAAGGCCCAGACAGCCAGGAUGUUGGCUUAGAAGCAGCCAUCAUUUAAAGAAAGCGUAAUAGCUCACUGGUCGAGUCGGCCUGCGCGGAAGAUGUAACGGGGCUAAACCAUGCACCGAAGCUGCGGCAGCGACGCUGAUGCGUUGUUGGGUAGGGGAGCGUUCUGUAAGCCUGCGAAGGUGUGCUGUGAGGCAUGCUGGAGGUAUCAGAAGUGCGAAUGCUGACAUAAGUAACGAUAAAGCGGGUGAAAAGCCCGCUCGCCGGAAGACCAAGGGUUCCUGUCCAACGUUAAUCGGGGCAGGGUGAGUCGACCCCUAAGGCGAGGCCGAAAGGCGUAGUCGAUGGGAAACAGGUUAAUAUUCCUGUGCUUGGUGUUACUGCGAAGGGGGGACGGAGAAGGCUAUGUUGGCCGGGCGACGGUUGUCCCGGUUUAAGCGUGUAGGCUGGUUUUCCAGGCAAAUCCGGAAAAUCAAGGCUGAGGCGUGAUGACGAGGCACUACGGUGCUGAAGCAACAAAUGCCCUGCUUCCAGGAAAAGCCUCUAAGCAUCAGGUAACAUCAAAUCGUACCCCAAACCGACACAGGUGGUCAGGUAGAGAAUACCAAGGCGCUUGAGAGAACUCGGGUGAAGGAACUAGGCAAAAUGGUGCCGUAACUUCGGGAGAAGGCACGCUGAUAUGUAGGUGAAGUCCCUCGCGGAUGGAGCUGAAAUCAGUCGAAGAUACCAGCUGGCUGCAACUGUUUAUUAAAAACACAGCACUGUGCAAACACGAAAGUGGACGUAUACGGUGUGACGCCUGCCCGGUGCCGGAAGGUUAAUUGAUGGGGUCAGCGCAAGCGAAGCUCUUGAUCGAAGCCCCGGUAAACGGCGGCCGUAACUAUAACGGUCCUAAGGUAGCGAAAUUCCUUGUCGGGUAAGUUCCGACCUGCACGAAUGGCGUAAUGAUGGCCAGGCUGUCUCCACCCGAGACUCAGUGAAAUUGAACUCGCUGUGAAGAUGCAGUGUACCCGCGGCAAGACGGAAAGACCCCGUGAACCUUUACUAUAGCUUGACACUGAACAUUGA
rnacentral:rRNA from 1 species